rnacentral:rRNA from 1 species
ACUACGGGAGGCAGCAGUGGGGAAUAUUGCACAAUGGGGGAAACCCUGAUGCAGCGACGCCGCGUGAGUGAAGAAGUAUUUCGGUACGUAAAGCUCUAUCAGCAGGGAAGAAAAUGACGGUACCUGACUAAGAAGCCCCGGCUAACUACGUGCACGCAGCCGCGGUAAUACGGAGGGGGCAAGCGUUAGACGGAGUUAGUGGGGGUAAAGGGAGCGUAGACGGCCGCGCAAGGCUGGAGUGAAAUCCCAUGGCUUAACCAUGGAACUGCUUUGGAAACUGUGGAGCUAGAGUGCAGGAGAGGUAAGCGGAAUUCCUAGUGUAGCGGUGAAAUGCGUAGAUAUUAGGAGGAACCCCAGUGGCGAAGGCGGCUUACUGGACUGUAACUGACGUUGAGGCUCGAAAGCGUGGGGAGCAAACAGGAUUAGAUACCCCAGUAGUC